GCUGCGGUGGUGGAAUUUGGUAGACACGCUAGCUUGAGGGGCUAGUGCGGGUUACCGCAUGGAGGUUCAAGUCCUCUCCGCAGCA
rfam:Spirochaetes bacterium RBG_16_67_19 RBG_16_scaffold_78190, whole genome shotgun sequence.